ensembl:lncRNA
CCAUUACUUCGCCUGAAACUGAUGCGUGAGCACGACGUGGUCCAUAGUUCUGUGGUAACGUCACCCUGACACGGUGACGCAGUGACGAUGAUUAUCAAGGUGAAGUACUUCAACUUGAAGAAAUAUGUAAAGAUAUCUGAGCCAUGUUUGGAAAUGUUCAUAACUGAAGUGCUUCAGGACCGUUUGGGUAGAAGCAAUGUGAGCAGUGUUGCCAACUCUCACAGAAAAUAAGCAACCGGGACGCUGAAAACAAGCCCAAAACAAGCGACUGAAGAAAAAAACCCUGUUCCUGUUCUUGAAGGAGAUUCUGAAGGAGAGUCGCCUGCCAGUGAGUCUUCAGGUAGCCUCACGGAUACACUUUCCCUGUUGAGUAGUCAGGGUAGUGAGGUCGAACUUAGCCAAAGCAAAAGGGCAUGCUUGGGGGCAGAGAUGUUGCAGUGUGUUACAGCGAAAGAUUUGGUGAAGAAUGUUCUGCUGGAGAAGCCUGGUGGUGCAACAGUCCUGAAGGAGUACGAGGACACUGGGAAAAUAUGUGACAGUUCCAGACGGCAGAUGGUGAACAUUUUAGCAGCACACAUGACAGAAAAAGAGGGGAUAAUUCCACAACGACUGACUAAGGAGAAAUAUGCACUUGGCAUCGUCACUUUGUUCCCUUCCCUGCAAGAUCCAAUGUCAAAGAAAGGCUAUGAGCAUUUCUAUGAUACCCAAAGUGGAUCAGGCUUCCUGGCUUGGAGACUCAAGACUAUUCAACGGAAGACCAAAUUUCAUCCCGAGUCAUCUAGUUCCCCUAAGGCUGCUGUUGUGAUGGGAGGUGGUCCAACACUCGUCAGGGACAACAGUCAAGAAGAUCAGCUUCAGGAUGAGCAAAUAACAGAAAAACAGAAAAAAUAACAGAAAAAAUGCAAAGAGGCCAUUUCCUUGAUGACUCAUACCAACGAGCGUGACACCAUCUUCCAGAAGAUGCAAGAAACCUUCCAUUUCUGGCAGGGGCUCAUCCACAAUCCUGAAACCUCGGCAUCAGUCCUGUCCAUGUUCCCAAGACUUUUGGACACAAAAGGAUUGGUUCUUCAAGACUUCAGCCUUCUCUUCGGAGCAGAAACAGCAGCCAGACUUCUGGAAAAGUGGCCCUCAUACAAGCCAAAGUUGAUAAAAGAAGCCGCUGCCCUGGUACAGACCCCGUUAUUGCAACGCCUUUUACAAUCUGCCAGAGGGGAACAAGUGGAGUCAUCUGCAGAUUACCACCCAGGUCGGGACAGCGAUAUGUCCACUUUACUCCUCCUGUUACACAUCCUGUCACCUCAGCCAGCUGGGAGGAAAAGGGGUCACAAGAUCAGUGCAAGGGAUGUCAUUGACCACCUGGUCGUUUUUCACAAGUCAUGCCAGAGUCUGGAUGAACAUUUGGAUUCUGAUGAACGUCAACAGCCGUAUCUGCUUGCCUCUGGAACCACCAAACGAGCCAUCAGCGCCUUCUACAUCGCCAUGGAUAAGAAGCUCAUCCCAUGCCAGGGAAACACAUCUCUUGCAGCAUUCGAUGAACUUUUCAAGGUCCAUUUUGUCUUCAGUUUGAAUUACGAUGAGUCUCUUCGCAGUAUGUACACGUUUAUCCAGACAACGAUCUACAACAUUGAUGUGGGAUCAACCAAAGAGAGUCCGAAACUAAAAGAGUUGCGGGCAAAGUUGCUGCAUGAUGUAUAGGUGUUACAUUUGUAGGACACUACUUGGCUCUAGUGGGGCCUUGGUUCAACACCUUAAACUGUUACAUGGGUUGUAUCCUGGCAAAAAGUUAAAUUUAAUAUGUGCUCAGGAUGGUUGUUGCUUAGAAUUUAGAAGUUACUCUGGUUUCCGUAAACACCUGAAACGUGUACACUGCAACAUUAAUGUGACUGAACCAGGUUUGACAGAUGAACCCCAACCUAGCACAUCUUUAGGUACGCCGGCUCUGCCUUCAGAUGGAUGUGCCCCCUCUGUCCAAACUUCUGACAUGAAUCCUGACUUAAUCAAUGAAAGGGAAUGUUCUUUAGAUUCAAAACAUAUGUGUGCUUCUGUUAUUGCGAAGUUGCAGGGUAGUGGUGUGGCAAAUACUGUUAUUUUGUCAGUUGUAGAAAGUAUGGAGGAAUGUUUAAAUGAUAUCCACACUUCAAUAAAGCGUCAGGUCUUAGAGGUCGUGCCAGAGGGUAACCCGAGCAGAAGUGCAGUAGAGGAAGUGUUAGAAAAUUUGGAGAACCCUUUUGCUGAUCUCAACACCGAUAGCAAAUGGAAAAAAUAUUUUUAUUCCAAAUGGGGAGUUGUACAACCUGUAGAGGUGCAUUUAGGAGUAAGAUACGAUUCUAAGAUAAACAGAAUUUCUGGAAAUUACGAACAGGUACCAGCUAACGACACUUUCAUCUAUGUGCCUUUGUUUAAAACGCUAGAGUUUAUUUUCAAAAACAAAAUGAUAUGCAGCCAUAUUCAAUCUUCUAAUUUCAGUGAUCUAUAUUCUGACUUCUGUGAUGGCUCUUAUUUUAAGAGCAAUCAGCUGUUCUCGUCCUGCCCUCAUGCCCUACAGAUUCAGGUUUAUUAUGACGAUUUUGAAACGGCUAACCCUUUAGGUUCUAAGGCGGGGUUGCAUAAGCUUGGAUGUUUAUAUUUUACACUCCGAAAUCUUCCACCUCCAUCUCAAUUCAUCUUUGAUGAAUAUACAUCUAAUGUCUUUGUUCCACUCACAAGAUGCUAAGAAGUACGGCUUAGACAAAAUACUCAAGCCUUUUAUAGAUGAUGUGAAAAAACUUGAGGUUUAUGGGAUGGAAGUGUCUUUCACAAAAGAGCGCCUCUAUGGCACAAUAUCACAGAUUACAGGUGAUAAUUUGGGUUUAAAUGGUAUCCUUGGGUAUGUGGAGUCUUUUAGUGCCACCUAUUAUUGUAGGUUUUGUGUUACAGACAAGGCCACAGCUCAGAGUGUAUUUUGUGAACAUGAUCCUAGAGUCAUUUUGCGAUCUAUAGAACUGAAUGGACAGCACUACACACAUCUUGAGAAUACUGGUGAUGGUUCAUGUUAUGGCAUCAAACGCAAAAGCAUUCUUAAUGAGUUACGGUAUUUCAGUGUUGUAGAUAAUGUUGUCGUUGAUAUAAUGCAUGACCUCCUUGAAGGUGUGGCACAAUAUGAGGUUAAGCUACUGUUUGACUACCUGGCAAAGAAUUUCCUAUCCAGUGAACACAUAUUAUUGAGAAUUUAUGGUUAUAGCUAUGGAUACUUGGACCGUAAGAACAGGCCAACAAAGAUCAAUAUUCAUGGGAAUGGGCUUGGUCUUAAUGCCAGUCAAACAAUGUGUCUUUUAAAAAAAUAUUCCACUCAUCUUUGCCAAUGUUGUUCCAGAAAAUGAUAAUCAUUGGAAUCUACUGUUGCUUCUACUUGAUAUUGUGUACAUAGUCUUCUGACCUAACAUCUCUGAGGGAAUGACUGUCUACUUGAGGUCUCUUAUUGCCAAACAUCAUACGUUAUUCAAACAAAUUUACCCCACACACAAUCUUAUUCCCAAACAUCAUUCAAUGAUCCAUUAUCCCUCUGUUAUUAGAAAAAUCGGUCCUUUACUUCAUGUCUGGACCAUGAGAUAUGAAGCGAAGCACAGAUUUUUCAAAUCUAGCAUUAAAAACUUUAAAAAUGUGACAAAGUCUUUAGCAUUAAAACAUCAGUUAGCUAUUGCCUAUCAUUGGGAGGCGUUCACGGUUAGAGGUAUUGAAUCAGGACCAGUAAAAACCCAAAUGUUAAGUGAAUUAGAUGAAGAAGAGCUGGUCUGUGAAUAUUUUCAACUCGAUAGGUCCUCUACUGUAUCUUCUACUGCAUGGGUGAAAUGCGACGGCAUUGACUAUCACAUAGGAU